GUUGAUCCCGCCGGACCCGACUGCUAUCGGAUUGGGAUUUAGCCAUGUUAGUUGUGCGUUCCUUGGCUACAGGGGACGUAGCGUACGGCUCAGUAACACGUAGUCAACCUGCCCUGGAGACGCGGACAAACCCGGGAAACUGGGGCCUAUCCGCGAUAGAUGAGCUCAUCUGGAAGGAGAGUUCGUCGAAAAGGGCGCACGGGUAUGCUCUGUGCGAACCGCUCCAGGAUGGGACUGCGGCCGAUCAGGCUGUUGGCGGGGUAAUGGCCCACCAAACCUGUAACCGGUACGGGCUUUGAGAGAAGGAGCCCGGAGAUGGACACUGAGACAAGGGUCCAGGCCCUACGGGGCGCAUCAGGCGCGAAAACUUCGCAAUGCGCGAAAGCGUGAUGAGGCUAGUCCGAGUGCUCCCUGCUANAGGGGGCUUUUCUCGGCUGUAAAUAGGCCGGGGAAUAAGGGGAGGGGCAGUCUGGUGU
rnacentral:rRNA from 1 species